rnacentral:rRNA from 1 species
GACGAACGCUGGCGGCGUGCUUAACACAUGCAAGUCGAACGGUGAAGCGCCUUCCUUUUUGGUGGGUGUGGAUGAGUGGCGAACGGGUGAGUAACACGUGAGUAACCUGCCCCCUUCUUCUGGAUAACCGCAUGAAAGUGUGGCUAAUACGGGAUAUUCUGGGUCUGUCGCAUGAUGGGUCUGGGAAAGAUAUUGUUUCGGUGGGGGAUGGGCUCGCGGCCUAUCAGCUUGUUGGUGGGGUGAUGGCCUACCAAGGCGGUGACGGGUAGCCGGCCUGAGAGGGUGGACGGUCACACUGGGACUGAGACACGGCCCAGACUCCUACGGGAGGCAGCAGUGGGGAAUAUUGCGCAAUGGGCGCAAGCCUGAUGCAGCGACGCCGCGUGAGGGAUGGAGGCCUUCGGGUUGUGAACCUCUUUCGCCAGUGAAGCAGGCCUGCCUCGUUUGUGGGUGGGUUGACGGUAGCUGGAUAAGAAGCGCCGGCUAACUACGU